rnacentral:rRNA from 1 species
UUCUAUUUGUUGGUUCUAGAGACGCCGCAUGAUUAACAGGAACAGUCGGGGGCAUCAGUAUUCAGUUGUCAGAGGUGAAAUUCUUGGAUUUACUGAAGACUAACUACUGCGAAAGCAUUUGCCAAGGAUGUUUUCAUUAAUCAGUGAACGAAAGUUAGGGGAUCGAAGACGAUCAGAUACCGUCGUAGUCUUAACCGUAAACUAUGCCGACUAGGGAUCGGGCGAUGUUCUUUUUCUGACUCGCUCGGCACCUUACGAGAAAUCAAAGUUUUUGGGUUCUGGGGGGAUUAUGGUCGCAAGGCUGAAACUUAAAGAAAUUGACGGAAGGUCACCACCAGGCGUGGAGCCUGCGGCUUAAUUUGACUCAACACGGGGAAACUCCAAGGUCCAGAAA